rnacentral:rRNA from 1 species
AAAUUGAAGAGUUUGAUCAUGGCUCAGAUUGAACGCUGGCGGCAGGCCUAACACAUGCAAGUCGAACGGUAGCACAGAGAGCUUGCUCUCGGGUGACGAGUGGCGGACGGGUGAGUAAUGUCUGGGAAACUGCCUGAUGGAGGGGGAUAACUACUGGAAACGGUGGCUAAUACCGCAUAACGUCGCAAGACCAAAGAGGGGGACCUUCGGGCCUCUUGCCAUCAGAUGUGCCCAGAUGGGAUUAGCUGGUUGGUGAGGUAACGGCUCACCAAGGCGACGAUCCCUAGCUGGUCUGAGAGGAUGACCAGCCACACUGGAACUGAGACACGGUCCAGACUCCUACGGGAGGCAGCAGUGGGG